AUACGGAGGGUGCAAGCGUUACUCGGAAUCACUGGGCGUAAAGGACGCGUAGGCGGAUUGGAAAGUCAGAUGUGAAAUCCUACAGCUUAACUGUAGAACUGCAUUUGAAACUUCUAAUCUAGAGUAUGGGAGGGGGAGAUGGAAUUAGUGGUGUAGGGGUAAAAUCCGUAGAUAUCACUAGGAAUACCGAAAGCGAAGGCGAUCUCCUGGAACAUAACUGACGCUAAGGCGUGAAAGCGUGGGGAGCGAACGGGAUUAGAAACCCUAGUAGUCC
rnacentral:rRNA from 1 species